GUUCGGGAACAGAGCACGGUAUACAAGAUGGCUGCCGACGGCCCGAAACGCUGGGCGCACGCACGCGGCGCGCGCGACGGUGUCACGGACGCAGUAGUAGUAGUUGUGGUCGUCGUUCCCUGUCGUCAGCUUACCCGAACUUGUUCACUAAUUGUGACGGGGACCGAGUGACUCCGUUGGUCCGUUGUUGUUGCGGUAUUUCCACGAUAACAACUUGCAAUGCUGCUGCCGUGGCCACCGGUGACGUAUUCGCUUUUUCGGACAACUGUCGUAACUCUCGCAGCCGCCGGUUAACCAGCUGUGCGGUCACGUGCCCGAGUGGUCUGUGCGGUAACGAAUUAUUUGACGGUUUUGGCCUGGGUAUUUCAAGUAAUUGUAUAUAAUUUGAUCAGUGGUGACUGGUGAUGUCCCGCCAUACGAUAUCACCACAUAGAGUAAUAUUACUCUAUGCAUCACCAUUCAUCACCGCCGACUCAGUGAAUAAAAUCAACUCAUUGAACAGCUUUAAAGGAUUUGGAAAUUUCACGUUGAACAAGAUCAAGAUAACGUAGUAAAAUUUGUAAAUAGGCUGACACCCGAAAAGAACCAGUUACAUCGUUGGAUUUAAAAAAAAAAAAAAUGUUCACAAAAAUCACUUGUAGGAAUACAUCAGUAAUUUUUGGUGGACUGUUUAAAUCACAAUUUUAAACGGAUUUAAAAAAAAUUUAGAAAUAAUCCUCUACUAAAAUCUAGUAAGACAUAAAAUUUACCUAGUAGAAGUAUGCUAAGAAACUGAAAUGAUGUUAAGAUUAUCACAUUAGACACAUUGGGUAAAAUGUUUUUACCCAAUAUUAAACCAAAAAUGUUUUAUGAUUAAAAACACGAAGUAUACCAAAAACCUAAUAUUUAAAAAAAAAAUGAAUUAUCACUGUAAAAAUUGAUAAUAUUUAACACAUAUAGUGGUCAAAUAAUAAGUCUGGCCUAUUUAAAUAUCUGUUUCCACCAUGCUCUGAAAUCAAGAGAGAAAUAAUAGUUAUUUUAUGAAGAAAAAAUUAGUAAAAGAUAUUUAUUUAGGACUGAU